rnacentral:rRNA from 1 species
GACGAACGCUGGCGGCGUGCUUAACACAUGCAAGUCGAACGAUGAAGCCUAGCUUGCUGGGUGGAUUAGUGGCGAACGGGUGAGUAACACGUGAGUAACCUGCCCCUUACUCUGGGAUAAGCGCUGGAAACGGCGUCUAAUACUGGAUAUUACCUUUCAUCGCAUGGUGUUUGGUGGAAAGAUUUUUCGGUUUGGGAUGGACUCGCGGCCUAUCAGCUUGAUGGUGAGGUAGUGGCUCACCAUGGCGACGACGGGUAGCCGGCCUGAGAGGGUGACCGGCCACAAGGGGAAUGAGACACGGCCCAGACCCCUACGGGGGGCAGGAGUGGGGAAUAUUGAACAAUGGGCGAAAGCCUGAUGCAGCAACGCCGGGUGGGGGAUGACGGCCUUGGGGUUGUAAACCUUUUUUGGGGGGGAAGAAGCGUAAGUGGCGGUCCCAACAGAAAAAGCCCCGGCUAACUACGU